UUAUUUCGAAAGGAAGGGAAUAAAUUAGACUACUGUAUCUACCAUAUUAGGAGUAGUAAAGCAUAUAAUAUGCAAUAUGGGCCAAAUACAUAAUAAUUAUAGUAAAGAAAAUAUAGACUGAAUAUUGAAAGCAUGUUCACGCGCAUAAAUAUGGUAAAAAUAUAAAUUAACUCUGAAAAUUAGUCCAAGAAUAACGGAUGAGACUAAAAUCACAAGGGAUUAGUUCUGAGGAAAGCAUAUCACAAAUAAGGAAGUAAUUCAAAAAUCAGUGUAAAACUUCUAAGGAAAACACAUACAAAUUAAGGAUUCGCAGAGAUGCACAAAAUCAGCAGAAUAUUAUGUAGUUGAUGA
rnacentral:lncRNA from 1 species